UGAUUUAGGGAGUAUUAUGAAGUUUUACUAAAUUAAUUGAUAAACAAAUUAUAACGAUCUUAUAUACCAUGAAAAUGAGCUUAAAAUACAUUAAUACAAAUGUAGAAUAUGGUUAGAAAUUUUAAAACAUCACUAAAGAUUAUUGGCUUCAGUAUAUAAAGUAUUUACCAAAAACUCAAUAUUUUUGUAGGGGUUAGCCAAUAGAUUUUGAGAAAAUUUCAAAAAAUAUGACAAUAUUAUUUUAAUACCUAGUUUCAUCCUGCACUAACAUAUGAUGAUGUUCAAAGAGGUUUGGAGCCUUUGUCGUCUUCAAUUAUCAAGAAAAUAAUAACUUUAUAGUGGUUAUUCCAUCGAUUUAGGGAGUAUUAUGAAGUUUUACUAAAUUUAUUGAUAAAAACAAUUGAACGAUGCUCAUUUACCGUGAAAAAGAGUUUAGCAUACAUUAAUACAAAUGUGGAAUAUGGUAGAAAUUUUAAAACAACACCAAAGAUUAUAGUCUUCAGUAUAUAAAGUAUUUACCAAAAACUCAAUAUUUUUGUAGGGGAUAGCCCAUAUAUUUUGAGAAAUUUUCAAAACAUAUGACAAUAUUGUUUUAAUGCCUAG
rnacentral:lncRNA from 1 species